UUGUAUUGUAUUUUAUUUUGUAUUGUGUUGUUUUAUAAAGGAAUAUGCUGGCAAGUAAUGUAUACCCUAAUGUAAUUACAAGUAAUUAGAGAGUAUAAAAUUGGGAAUAAAUGACUACCAUUAUAAUCAUAAUGGAUUAUGAAUAAUAUAUCAAUCGGAGUGCAUCAUAUUUACAAAAUAACAACCGUUAUCAAACCAUGAAUUCAUAAUACAAAUUCCUUUAAACAAUGUCAAUUGCAACACUCUCAGAGCCUAAUAUCAGGAGAAAGUUCAAAAUGUCUGUGGAUGGCCCUUGUAUUGGCAGUAAGGUAAUGGUGCCUCCCUCUUUGGGAGGCAGCAUUACCACUCAUCAGUCAAAUGCAUUGUAAAUUACAGGGCCCGGGUAAUAAAACCAGAUUUGUACAUCACCAGGACUGGAGACUGUCUGUCUUGUAAAUUUAAUUAAACAGCAGGUGCAAAAUCAGGUCAUGUGGCUUUGAUGUGUCCCAUGUGAGAAUGACAAGCAGACAAAGAUUCUAAUAUGGGAAGCAUUUACAUAUUUUUGCAUGUGCACGCGUGUACAAGGGGAGCUGCCGUCACCGUGUAGAGUAUUCCAAUUCGCCCAAAUUAAGAGAGAUUCAAAUUAGCUGUCACCUUCAAUUUCAAUAGCUCGUCGCCAAAAUAAACGGUUAAGCUCUUCAAAAGCAAUCCCUGCUCGUCAAAUGCAGAGUAAACACACAUAUUACCAACAGCUUGUCGAGACGGGAAGAUUUGCACUAAUCAGGUCUUAUAGCAAAUAAAAUAAAAUGUUAUUGGUCGCAUACACAUAUUUAGCAGGUGUAGCAAAAUGCUUGUGGAGCCAUGAACAGGACGACCAUGUCAAUCAGCGCCAUCUUGUCAAGUCUGUGCACGACAACACAGAAAACCUACCUAAAGAAAACACUCAUCAACCAGUGCCUACAAUACAGUAGAAUCACAUUUGAUUUUCCAACCUACUAGUCAGCUCUUAAUAGACUUGAUCCAGAGUGAUGCACAUCCUCUUAUGGAUGAGUGUGACCUGUGACACCGUUCUCUCGCCAUCUCCGUGGCAGAAGACAGACAUCGAUUGAAGUUGACUAGCGAAAUGUCAGCUGCCUGACCUGAUGGCAACACCUUUGCUUGUUUUUGGGAAGAAGUGGUUGAUAAUUACCACCUAGAAUGUAGCCAUCUGUCCCGCUCUUUCAUGACCUGUUAAACUCGCUUUUCAAAAAGUUUACUGGUGACAGAGGGCACGUGACGGAAAAGAGUGUGCACUCAAGCCAGAGCUAAGGAGCUCAUAGAACCAUUACUGUACUGUAGAUACACCAAACAGCUCUAAUAAACUUGAAGUUAUUAUGGGAAAACAAGGAAAGCAGAAGAGGGAAGAAAAGAUGUCAGAAAAGAUUAAAUAUGAAUUUGAAGUAAUAUGCUUACGGGAAUAAGAACCUAAUUCUGUUGAACAGAACAAAUAACUCAACCAAAGCCAACAACCUAGUGUCACCAUGAGUUAAUCAUCGGUUGCUUUCAAUUUCUCCCACACAUUGCCAAUAGUUUGACAUCUACUCUCAUUCCAGAGAAAGUCAGUGAUUUUGCAACUUACAUAAAACCGACUAUCAGCAUUGUCAAUUACAUAUGGGUUUUUCCCCUAGUCUUCAGAGACACCUGUGUUUUCACAGUAAGGAAUCUGCUAUCAACAACAUGCUUGCCCGAUGUCUAUUUAUCUGUCUGUCAGUUUGACAGAGUCUUUGGGAAAUCCUCACUUGUCAGAACUAUUUCUCUCAUGUUUCACUGAGUUUUUAAUGAGAAGCACCAGGCAAAAUCCACAAGCAACGUGAGAGCAGAAGGGGGGGGACAGGUGGAUAGCUGGGAGCUUCGGUAUAACUGAACACCAUGUGGUAUACAUCUCUUUUGAUUACUGCCACAUCCAAUCACACUAAUCAAACACGCAUCAAAGAGCAGAAGUUAUAGACCGAUGACUGAAUGACACAAUGUAAAGACUGGUGCAGUGUGAAAUCUGCCAACACUAUCAUUGGUGGUUUCAAAACAAUGCACAGUGUCCACCCACUCUGCCAAGACGCACUUUGGUGAUGAAAUUUCACUUCCUUAUGUUAUCAAAUACAUUUUACCAAGACAAAUAUGAUUAUUCAUGUCUGAAUCAUUGUGGGGUCUUUCUCUAACAUAUUAGUAUUAUAUCCAAAAAGUUGGAUUUCGUAAUCUAAUACAUACGAUAAUAAGCACCAAGAUCUGUUGACAUCGUGGUACAGGUUUCUCAUAACUUCUAAAGAUGUUACAUUUUGAGGUCAUCGUCUUCCAAGUAGUUAACAGGUCGCAAAAAGCAAAUGAGAAUGAAUUAAAUGUAAAAGACUGAUAAUAAAAAGCUUGGAAUGCUCAGCGUUCAUUUUAUAGAGAUUCAAUCAUUUCUUACAAACAAGCAUAAAAGAACAGGAAUUUCCAAUUCAUAUGAAAAGUGUGUACUAAAAUAUGAAAAUACGUCAUGUCUCAAAAUCGAUAUCCAUCUUAGCUCUAUAUUGUUUUAUGUCCUGCGGAUUGGAGAAGAAAGAUGACCAGUUCAACAGGGAAGUGAGCCUGUCAGGUAGCCAAUAGCCUUAAAUCUGCCACAGAAUCCAGCCUAGCUGACACAAUGCAAUUUUCCACUUUUUUUUACCACUUUUUUCCCCCUCCGGCCUCCAUUGAUUUAGUCACCCGAAUUCUGACCAUCCCACAAGGGUAAAGACUCCAAUAACUCGAACGGGUUAUGAUAGACACGAGGUUUGGACCAUUGGAAUACUUAGAGGAUUAUCUACAGAAUUAACAUACUAUUUAAAAAACACUGCUCGAAAGAUACAUUUUUGAUUGGAACUUGUGUGAAUUCUGAUUUUUUUCCAGUGCCUGAAUAUCACGACUCAGGAUAAGGCCCAUAUGCAGACAGUUCGAAGCACAGUUAUUUAUUGACAAAUCAGGGGACAGACAAAAGACAGGUCAAGAGCAGGCAGGAGGUCAGUAAUCCAGGGCAGAGUCAGUAAGGUACAGAACGGCAGGCAGAGGUCAGUAAUCCAGGGCAGAGUCAGUAAGGUACAGAACGGCAGGCAGGUUCGGGGUUAGGGCAGGCAGAGGUCAGUAAUCCAGGGCAGAGUCAGUAAGGUAAAGAACGGCAGGCAGGCUCGGGGUUAGGGCAGGCAGAGGUCAGUAAUCCAGGGCAGAGUCAGUAAGGUACAGAACGGCAGAAAAAAACCCGACGGUAAGCUUGACGAGACAAGACGAACUGGCAACAGACAAGCAGAAAACACAGGUAUGAAUGCACAGGGGAUAAUGGGGAAAAUGGGCGACACCUGGAGGGGGUGGAGACAAGCACAAGCCAAGUGAAACAGAUCAGGGUGUGACACUAAGGCUAUGCAGCAGUUUGAUAAUGUAGAAUGUGUUUUUUAAAUUUAUUUUACUCUUAAGAUCAAGCCCACAUAGAUCCAUAACCAGGUGUGGUGUUUAGUGGUGUUUCGGGAAGGUGGGAGCUAGAUACAGUAUAUCCAACAUGCUUUUUUGUGACUAUGAACAUUAAGGUGUAAUUGAGCUUUGCAAUGUAACUCGACCCCUUUAAAGAAAAAUACGCAAAUGCUGAGAACUAAAGCUAAACCAGUCAAAAUCCCUCAACUGUAGUUACAUCAUAUGCCUUAUCACACAUGCAGUAGUUACAACAUCUGCCUUAUCCCACAUGCCUUCUCUUGUCCUACAUUCUUGUCCUACAUAUAAUCAAUCUUCCCUUGAAACGAUCUAAGUCAUAAAAUAUGAGUGUUUGCUGAUUGACUCUCCGAUACACAUUUCAAACAUAUUUGUGCAUCUGCAUUCGCCUGCAUUCACUACCAACACAUUCCUCGAGCCUGCUCAGGUCUGAGGGUGUCAGAACAGAUACAGAGAAACAGCUAUUUUUUCACCUGCAGCACAGAACAACAUCUCCACGGAGGCCAGCAGCAGCAGAUAUGUCAUAGCGAGAGAGACAGAGCAGUUGAGAAGGUGAAUGACUGCAGGCGGUCCUCAGAGGGAGAGGUGGAGGGUGGAGCCCCAUGGGUUGGAACAACCCCAUGGAGAGUAGACAUAUCAGCACUAUUGAGUUGUUACACAACAUCUACUGUAGGUCAUGAAUGCACUACCUCUGGUAUUUUAACAUGAACUGGAAAGUUUAGAGGCUCGGUAUGAGGUUGAUAUGAGGUGAAUUUGGUGCAACACAAAAGCAAGAACUUUACAAUUUAGUCAUUUAGCAGAAACUCUUAUCCAGAGUGACUUACAGGAGCAAUUAGUCUUAAGUUCCUUGCUCAAGGGCACAUCGAGAGAGCCUUGUUGGCUCGGGGAUUCAAACCAGUAACCUUUCAAUUAAUGGCCCAAUACUCUAACCACUACCUUCCCCCCCAAUCAAUCCAAUCAGUACUUGGACUGGUAACU
ensembl:lncRNA